GAUGAACGCUAGCGGCAGGCCUAACACAUGCAAGUCGAGGGGUAACAGGGAGUGCUUGCACUCUGCUGACGACCGGCGCACGGGUGCGGAACGCGUAUGGAACCUGCCCCUGUCAGGGGAAUAGCCCAGAGAAAUUUGGAUUAAUGCCCCAUGGUAUCGAACCACCGCAUGGUGGUUUGAUUAAAGAUUUAUCGGACAGGGAUGGCCAUGCGUACCAUUAGCUAGUUGGUGAGGUAACGGCUCACCAAAGCAACGAUGGUUAGGGGCCCUGAGAGGGGGAUCCCCCACACUGGUACUGAGACACGGACCAGACUCCUGCGGGAGGCAGCAGUGAGGAAUAUUGGACAAUGGCCGAAAGGUUGAUCCAGCCAUGCCGCGUGCAGGAUGACGGCCCUAUGGGUUGUAAACUGCUUUUACAUGGGAAGAAACCUCCCCUCGUGAGGGGAGCUGACGGUACCAUGAGAAUAAGGACCGGCUAACUCCGCGCCAGCAGCCGCGGUAAUACGGAGGGUCCGAGCGUUAUCCGGAAUCAUUGGGUUUAAAGGGUCCGUAGGCGGGCCUAUAAGUCAGGGGUGAAAGGCCACGGCUCAACCGUGGGACUGCCCUUGAUACUGUAGGUCUUGAGUUAUAGUGGGGUUGCCGGAACAUGUGGUGUAGCGGUGAAAUGCAUAGAUAUCACAUAGAACACCGAUCGCGAAGGCAGGUGACCAACUAUAUACUGACGCUGAUGGACGAAAGCGUGGGUAGCGAACGGGAUUAGAUACCCCGGUAGUCCACGCCGUAAACGAUGGAUACUAGCU
rnacentral:rRNA from 1 species